AACCGCGGCGGUGCCCAGCUCCUCCCCUCCUCCUCCCGCUCCUCCACAUCCUCCUCGCCACCACCGCCGGCACGCUCCUCGCGGUGCGUCGGGCGCGGGUAGUCAAAUCUCCUCCUCCGUGCCACGCAACCCAGCGACACGCCCAACCCCAAUAUAGGAGGCGGCCCUCUCUCAGAUCCCUCCCUUUCUCUCUUCCCUUCGUCUCGCUUUCCGCCUCCGAUUCCCCAAUCUCUUGGGAGGGCGAUGCGGUGGAAACUCGGCACUGCGGCGUAUCAAGCGCGUGCCGUCCCGGGACGCCGCCAUGGACCCCGACCUCGAGACGCCAGAUCCGGCAGCAGAGAAGACGCCCGAGGGAGGAGGAGGAGCAGGAGCAGCAUGCCCAUUGUGGCGCAGGUCGCUGCCGCACGUGUGCGUCACCACGGUCACCUCCUUCCUCUUCGGCUACCACACAGGAGUGGUGAACGAGCCGCUCGAGAGCAUCUCCACCGACCUCGGAGGUCGGGUGCGGGGAGUCGCUGUCGCCGUCGAUGACGCGGUUCGGGAUUGCCGCGUGCUUCAACGCCACAUCGUCGGCCGCCGGCGCCAACGCCGCGUUGGGCGUCGUCCAUGCGGUGCCGCCGACCGAGCCUGUCGUGUCCGCCGAGUGGCUGCACGCCAACCUCAGGGACCCCGAUGUGAAGGUACUUGAUGCCUCUUGGUCAGAAGAUGAUGGCGAGUUCCUCAUUCCAAUUGAGUUUAUAUUGUGUAGGUUUCUUCGUCAUGAUCUGGAUUGCCGCAGUCAUGUUCAAGUCCAAUGAUAUCUUGCGCAAGCAGACCGCUCUCAGGGUUGGUGCUUCAUAAUAACUUGUCUAUCAACGUGCUUCUUCUGCUUCUAGAGUGGGAGAGGAAAAUGCCAAUGCUUAUCGGGAUUGUAGUACUAUUCACCAUUCACGUGUUUGGAGUCUACUGGUGGUACAUGAAUGAUGACCUUGUUAGACCGUUGGUGAUGCUUCCUCCAAAAGAAAUACCACCAUUCUGGCAUGCUAUAUUUUUCAUUGCGGUGAAUGAUACAAUGGUUCGGCAAGCUGCUAUGGUGGUCAAGUGUGUGCUUCUCAUGUACUACGUCGAAUAUCUCAAGCGACCUUGCCCUAUUUUAUGUCGAAUAUCUCAAGCGACAAAAUUUGCUCUCAAUGUACUGUUGCAGGAUCUGGAUAUCUCUGAAAAUUUAGUACUUUCUGGUGUUGAUCUCAAGUGUUGGCUCCUACAGCAUUGCAUUUCACCAAGUGAAAUGCUACAUUUCUACUCCUAACCCAUUUUCUCUUUCUUAGUGUUUUUGUUAUGCAGGUUGGAAGAAAAGAAGAUCCAAAGAAAAUCUUAGUAAUAAGAUAGUUUUUAGGAAAAUAGAUAUUUAAUUUUAGGUCAUUUCUUGUAAUUUCAGAUAUGGAGUGCUUGUCUUUAGUUUUUGUUUUGACUUUGUGAAACUUGCUAACUAUGGAUGAAACUGUGUAAUAUUGAUGAAACUAUGUAUAUGU